ACCUCCUGCCUGGAGAAUUCAGGAUGGGGUUAAGAAGCAAAGGAAAAUGUGACUAGAGAAAGUAAAGAGGCAGUUGGAUGCAGCUAGGCUGUUGGAAAACGCAGUACGUGGAGCAGGACCAAGCUGAUGUCAUCAUGACAGAGGCCAUGCUAGAGAAGUCAACCACCGGCCGGUUCCCAGACACGUGAGCAAGCCCAGUCAAAAUCUGUGGUACCAUCUAGCCACCUGGUAGCCUUAUCAGCAAUAAUAGAUGGUGUUGUUUUAAACCAUCAAGUUAUGAGGAGGAAGAGCCAGUAACAAAUUUGUUGCAAACAUUUGCAAAGUGAAAACGACCGUUAUUUUCAUUCUUUUCUCAUCUGACAAGAGGGAAGACUGCAAGGAAAAUGCAUAGAAGAGAAAGCAAGUGUGAGAAUGGGAAGGAAAGUAAGAGUAAGCAAGCGAGAUGAUUCCUGCUCUAGAAGCCUAUUCCUGCCUUUUUGGGGUUCCUACACCAUCUGUUAUUACCCCUUUUUUGCUGAAUUACAAACACCUACCUCUCUGUUGGUAGCCUCUCGGUCAGUAUUUACACAUACUUGAUUCUUCUCAGUUAAAAAAAAAUGAAAAUCCUCUGCCUACUCCCACCCCACCUUAUCCAGCUUUUUCCUGCCCUUCUUAACCAGGGGUCUUGAAAGGGUUGACUACAUUUGCUGCCUUCAUUACUUUAUUUCUCAUUUCUCAGCCAUUGGCAAGCCAGCUAGUAUCUUAUUAAUUGCGUGGAAACUCUCAUUCAAAUCACCACUAUCCAAAUUGGUUGUAAACCAGCUCUUAGCUUAUUUGAUCCCUAAAUAGGUUCUGACCAAUUCCGAUUUGGGGGUGGGGAUUCCUCACACAUACAACAAACAAUGCUCUGACACCAGAUGUCCUAUAAUUCGACUCAAUUCCGACACUACUACUGGAUAUUGAAUCAGAUUCCACUUGGUCUUAAGAGAC